rnacentral:rRNA from 1 species
GACGAACGCUGGCGGCGUGCCUAAUACAUGCAAGUUGAGCGCUGAAGGUUGGUACUUGUACCGACUGGAUGAGCAGCGAACGGGUGAGUAACGCGUGGGGAAUCUGCCUUUGAGCGGGGGACAACAUUUGGAAACGAAUGCUAAUACCGCAUAAAAACUUUAAACACAAGUUUUAAGUUUGAAAGAUGCCAUUGCAUCACUCAAAGAUGAUCCCGCGUUGUAUUAGCUAGUUGGUGAGGUAAAGGCUCACCAAGGCGAUGAUACAUAGCCGACCUGAGAGGGUGAUCGGCCACAUUGGGACUGAGACACGGCCCAAACUCCUACGGGAGGCAGCAGUAGGGAAUCUUCGGCAAUGGACGAAAGUCUGACCGAGCAACGCCGCGUGAGUGAAGAAGGUUUUCGGAUCGUAAAACUCUGUUGGUAGAGAAGAACGUUGGUGAGAGUGGAAAGCUCAUCAAGUGACGGUAACUACCCAGAAAGGGACGGCUAACUACGUG